rnacentral:tRNA from 2 species
GGGGUCGUAGUCCAGACAGGUUAAGACGGCGGGCUCCAGACCCGCAGGUCAUCGGUUCAAAUCCGGUCGGCCCCACCA